rnacentral:rRNA from 1 species
AUGAGUCAACCACACGCUGCAUCAACUGCACAUCCAAAAUCGGAUAAUAAAACAAAAAAUCCUCUUCUGAACUGCAUGGGGCGUCAUCGCCGCGGUGGACCUUCGUCGCGCUCUUGGAAAUUGGUGGGAUCUUACCAUAUCGAUCUUGAGCAAGAACAACCCACUGCCGAUCGCACACCGGUGUUCUCUGUCACCAAAAAUUGCAAUAGAUGUCAGGGGGAGGGGAUGCAAGGAAAGGGAGGGAGGAAGGAUGUGCCUGGACGAGCCGCUAUGUGGCAGGGGGGCAGCCUGAUUCCAGCAACAAGCAGAGCAGACGAGGCGUGGCGCAGCCGGAUCCGUCAUCAGGGCUUGUGUUGGAGAAAGAACUCGCCACAGUCUAGCCUGCGCUGCACUGGAGAGGAACGCCGGGGCACUGGCAAGCUGCAGAAAAGAACUAGAAGUCCAUGA